UAUAUAUACAUAUGUACAUCUAAUGAAUGAAGUGGGCUCUAUAAAAAAACAACGAAAACUCAAGUUACAAACUAAUCUCUGGUAGCUAAUCCAUGCACGUACGGGGUUGCAUGCUUUUUUGUUUCUUUUUUUCUUUUUUUUAACCUG
rnacentral:ribozyme from 1 species